rnacentral:rRNA from 1 species
UACGUAGGGGGGCAAGCGUUGUCCGGAAUCAUUGGGCGUAAAGAGCGUGUAGGCGGUUCGGUAAGUCGGCUGUGAAAGUCCAGGGCUCAACCCCUGGGAUGCCGGUCGAUACUGCCGGACUAGAGUUCGGAAGAGGCGAGUGGAAUUCCCGGUGUAGCGGUGAAAUGCGCAGAUAUCGGGGAGGAACACCUAUGGCGAAGGCAGCUCGCUGGGACGUUACUGACGCUGAGAACGCGAAAGCGUGGGGAGCAAACAGG